UACAGAGGUCCCGAGCGUUGUUCGGAUUCACUGGGCGUAAAGGGUGCGUAGGUGGUGAGGUAAGUCUGAUGUGAAAUCCCCGGGCUCAACCUGGGAAUGGCAUUGGAUACUGGCUCGCUAGAGUGCGGUAGAGGGUGGUGGAAUUCCCGGUGUAGCAGUGAAAUGCGUAGAGAUCGGGAGGAACAUCUGUGGCGAAGGCGGCCACCUGGACCAACACUGACACUGAGGCACGAAAGCGUGGGGAGCAAACAGG
rnacentral:rRNA from 1 species